GAUCACCGUGAUGACUCUAUAAAAUUCAAGCUCAACAGACCGGAAUGCAGAGCAUUCUCUCUUCCGAGAGAUAGCGUUGCGUGUCGACAACCCCGCUGAACUGAGUGAUC
rfam:Phaseolus vulgaris cultivar G19833 chromosome 1, whole genome shotgun sequence.